CCCGAGAAGAGGGAUCCCCAAGCCCGGAGUAACUCUGGCCCGGCCUGGGUGUAUGCUGGCCAGCCUCCCAGCCACAGUGGCCGGCAAAACCUGGCAGCCAACAGGAAAGAACAGCAUGCAGAGAAAGCAAUCCCGACACAAGCAAAGAUUCCAACCGUGGCUGCGGAGCACCCCCCUCACUCCCACCUGCUGUGUCGUCCACACCCCAGCCCCUUGCUCAAGCACAGAAAGGCAGACUGCCACGUGCAGCGCCUCAUUUGGAUGUGUCUGGAGUCUUGGAAGCUUGACUACCCUACAUUCUCCUACAAACACAAGUUUUUUGAUUCCACCUUAAAAAAGAUAAAAAAAAAAAAAAAAAAAACCCAAGGAAAAAUAAGAUAAAAACAGAGAAGGCGGCAAACCGGGACCACGUGAACUGCAGAUAUCAUGGUGGCAGAGACAAACACUUGUUAAGAUGCCAUCUGCCACUGCCCAAGAUGAGGAUCGUCAGUAUCUGUAUUUCAUGGAGUGCCAUCAGGGCCAAAUAAAGGCAUUCCUGUGAAGUAGGUUCUCCACGGUGCACGGCACAUUCUUAAGUGAUGAACAUAUUCAAUAAACCGGCCCUUGCUCUGAGCCAGUCUUACUCUGGGCACCAGCUGAUGACGGUGAUCAGAGCAGGUGGUACAUCUUUCUCCAGAUGACAUCUUUAAGGCCCUGGACAGCAAGGUUCCUCGU